UAUUCAUUUACUGGUUUGUCAUCUUUUUCUCCUGUUAGACUGCAAGCUCCAUGGAGUUUUUGUUCACCACUGGAUCCCUAAUACCUUGACAAAUGUCUGGCACAUAAAUGGGUGCUCCUCCUUCGAACCUGUCACCAUGCUGUGAGGAAGCCCAAGUUAGCCUGUGCAGAGAGACCAAAUGGAAAGGUCCCCAACAAACAGUGAGAGUGAGAGUGCAGAGAAGAAAGGAUGCAGGUCCUCAACAUUUAAAAAGCCUACUCCUAAGGAACUAUGGUGUUGGAGAAGACUCUUGAGAGUCUCUUGGACUGCAAGGAGAUCCAACCAGUCCAUCCUAAAGGAGAUCAGUCCUGAGUGUU